rnacentral:rRNA from 1 species
GGGCCCGCACAAGCGGUGGAGCAUGUGGUUUAAUUCGAUGAUACGCGAGGAACCUUACCAGGGCUUAAUGCAGUUGGACAGGUCUGGAAACAGACCCUUCUUCGGACUAAUUGCAAGGUGCUGCAUGGUUGUCGUCAGCUCGUGCCGUGAGGUGUCAGGUUAAGUCCUAUAACGAGCGCAACCCCUGUUGUUAGUUGCCAGCGAGUAAUGUCGGGAACUCUAGCAAGACUGCCGGUGCAAACCGUGAGGAAGGUGGGGAUGACGUCAAAUCAUCACGGCCCUUACGUCCUGGGCCACACACGUGCUACAAUGGUAGGUACAGAGAGCAGCCACGUCGCAAGGCGGAGCGAAUCUAUAAAACCUAUCACAGUUCGGAUCGGGGUCUGCAACUCGACCCCGUGAAGCUGGAAUCGCUAGUAAUCG